GUGAAUGGUGUUGAUGCGUAGGAGACAGUUACGUGUUUUGGCUUACAACAUGGCUGUCGAUGGCUUGAGUUGUCAUGACGAUUUUUUUGUAGGACUUCACCAUGGUGACCAUGACUGGACACACACACUGAAGCACAAUUUUAAUCCAGUGCAAUGGAAUAUUUCUUCAAUAAGUGAAUGACACACUUUUGUCUAUUUUUUGUAUGUUUCACACAAAUGCCUGACCCAGAAAACAAGCUUUUUGUCAAAAUAGCUCCUGCUGCACACCAUCUGCGACUGAUGAUAUUAAAACUGCCUUUAAUAUAAACCUUCGGAUAGGAAUUGGAGGUUUUUACUGGUCCAAUUGGUUCCUAGUAAUGGAGAUUAAAGCAUUGUAUUACCAAAGGUUACAAGCAUUGUAUUAUCACAGGUCUUGGGCCUGUGUGUCAAUAUAUCUAGUGGAUCCAAAUGGACUCACUAUCACUUUACUAUUUUUUCACCAAUAUCCACCAAUAUUUGGAUUGGAUCUAAUUAUCCUCAGAAGCCAGACUUUCUUUGGCUCCCUUCCAGAUUGUGUCUCUUUAUUUUUAAACAAAUGUGUGCGUGUUGGGUUAAUUUUAUUUUUCCUUUGGUCCAUGUUAGGUCAGCUCCAAAAAUGUCUACUCUGAUGUCCUAUGAACCUGAUACCAAGCAUAAUUAAACUUUACGGUUAAACUCUAAAGUGCAAUCACACACAUGCCUGGAUUAGUUCUGGGUGUAUCUGAAGACGUGUAACUUGCCCCCAUGUCGCACAUUGUUACACUGCGGCCACAAGAAAGACGUAAAUGUCCUACUGUUUGACCACAACUCUCUGUGGCACAGCGAGCGACCGUUGCCCACAUGGUAUCUCCCACAUACACAGGACGCACUUAGACGUCAGCCAAUCACACACAACAAAGCUCUGACAUCAUGGCUGACAUGAUGUCAGAGCUAAGCAGGAACAACUGUCUCGUAGUUACAAGCCACAUCAGAGGAGAGUGACGCAACAGUGUGUGUUGGCAUGCAUGUGCUGUAUGAGAGUCUAGGUCAGCACUGCGUCUGUAUAGGAUCGACAGCACUGGUGUGGUCAGCAUGGGAGAGAUGAGUCACAAGGUCAAACUAAACCAGUGAAGGGAGAGCAAAGAAGCCAGAAGUCAGAUAGCAAAUGGAAAGCAGACUUAACGGACAGAUAGAGGUAGUUUAUGUUUUAGUGAUUUGGUAACAAAUCCUCCUGGAAAUAACAUGUUGGACUGAGUAGCCAAAAGCACAGAUCUCAUGAACUGUGCAAUGAGGUCAAGCCCACACAAAUGGACAAUGUGUUUCCAUGCUUUGCUGUGCUACGUGUUCAUGUUGCAUUCAGAUAGUCGUGUGUGAAUAGUCCGCUCCGCUGGGGAAAAGAGGGAAUCCUGCCCAGACAUUCCAUGGCAAAGAUUCCCAAAGAGUUUCCACUACAACCCAGCUCCCCCUCCCCUGCUCGGUGUGGAAAGCGAACCUGAGCAGCAUUGUGUAGCUGUGUUUCCACAGUGGAAGCCUGUUCCUGGAUAGAAGCUGCAGUGGAAGUUCCCUCUCAUGAAGCGAAGGAACACAAGGAGGGAAAGAGGAGAGGGGAAGAGGAAAGACAGAGCAGAAGGAAGGACUGAGUGAAGCACAUGGGAACGUUUGUGACUCGAGACACAUUCUCAAUGACGACCAAGAAGAACUAAAAUAAAGUGACAACCCACCAAGAAACACAAGAGAGCGUGAAUCAGAGAAACAUGCUUAAAAAGGCUUUUAGACGCUGUUCCAGACUGGGUGACACACUAUCACACCUGGAGGCGGCCCAGUACAACCGCAAUCUGAUCCGAUGGCCGAGCCACUGGAGCCGCUAAACUGGAGCAGUUGAAGGAGCAAUGCCUUGCUCAAGGGCACCUCAGUGGAGAUAAUUGGAGAAAAGCCAGUUUUGUUAUUUCAUUUUCCCCCCCAUCAAAAAUGUUAACUAUACUGCAACCAACAGCCCAAAGACAAACAUUAUUUAACUUACUAUCAUUUAUGAUUUAAAAAAAAACAAGCAAAUCUUCAUGUUAGAGAAGCUGGAACCAGCAAUGAUUUAAUUUGCUUGAUAAAUGACUGAAACCGUAGCUCAAUUAUUAGACUAGGUGACAAAUAUAUUCCUUUUGAUCAACUAAUUAAAUUGUUGCAGCUCUAUGUAAAAUGCACAAACAACUUAAACUGUACAUGACAUGUAUCCACUUUUCUGUUGUGAAAAUAAGCAGCAAAAGUAGUUUGUAUCAUUAUUAAAUAUUCACCUGUAAUGACAUUACAUAUGAAACAUAAAUGCUGCCAUUUUAAAGUAUUGUAGCAGAGUAAGACGAGGACACAUCACGCCAGCAAGAAUAUUAUCACAAAAAUAGUAGUAACUGUUUCAGUAGGAGUAGUAGUAACAGUAAUGGUGGUAUUAUAAUUAAGAAGUAGUACUAUUUUAAGCAAUAUUCUCUUGUGUUGCUUUUUUUUCAUAAAAAUAAAUAAAAAUAAAACAGCGUGAUAAUAUAUGAUGUAUACAGGAUAUGAUGUGUGUUUCUGUUGAUGAGCAAAUAGAAAAGGAGGGAAAUUAGUCAGGGUGUCUGUAUUUUCAGCAGGUAUGACCUGAAACCACUGUCCACUACAAGUUCACAGCAUUAACAAGCACAUCAGAUACUUCAAGGAAGUAUAAAAAGUGUCAGCAGGGGUGAAUAGCCCAAAAAAGGAAACUUUCCACCUCUGCCCACGACUGUGACUCAUGCAGAAAUGCAACCACUUGUUUAUCUGUAAGUGUGUGUGUGUGUGUGUGUGUGUGUGUGUGUGUGUGUGUGUGUGUGUGUGUGCGCCUGUCUACCCGUGCACAUGCCCAUGUGGUCAGUGUGUGACCCAGAAUGACAAGACUCUGAGCCACAGCAAAGCGUCAAACACCGAGCACAUAUUUAGACCCUGUACGCAGAUUAAAAAUCACAGAAUACACACACACAAACACACACACACACAUGCUGCUCAAGUGUUGAAUAUCUGAAGGGCGACGAAGACACUGACUCAGCCACCAAAAUGUCAUCACUCCUUGAUACAAAGUCCUGAACUGCAAUUAUAAACUGUCAGGCAGGUACCUGGGUUGAACUUGUGGGAAUGGGAUAAGCAGAGGUGAAACAAAUGGAGGUGUGCAGGGUUUUCAGCAGGUGGCAAGUGUCUUAUCAAAGCAGAUCCCAGAUGGGAUUAACUAAAGGGCAACUGUUUCUCACACACACUCAAAUACUCAAAUACAUAUACAAAC